rnacentral:rRNA from 1 species
UACAGAGGGGGGCAAGCGUUGUUCGGAAUUACUGGGCGUAAAGGGCGCGUAGGCGCCUUCUAAGUCGAACGUGAAAUCCCUGGGCUCAACCCAGGAACUGCGUCCGAUACUGGAAGGCUUGAAUCCGGGAGAGGGAUGCGGAAUUCCAGGUGUAGCGGUGAAAUGCGUAGAGAUGUGGGGGAAUACCGAUGGCGAAGGCAGCCCCCUGGGCCAAUACUGACGCUCAUGCACGAAAGCGUGGGGAGCA